CUAGAUACACCAGAGGUACAGUCAUUGGGUAAAUCUUCCCAUUCCAAAUGGGAGAAAUAGGUCAAAACAAAGGGGCUACAGUCCCCAUACAAGUCUGAAAUCCAGUAGGG